GUAACAAGGUUUCCGUAGGUGAACCUGCGGAAGGAUCAUUGUCGAUGCCUUACAUUCAAUCCAACACGUGAAUUAGUUUGAACACAAAUGGUGGGCUCGAGGUGUUCGCACCUGGACUUGCCACUGGUUUCAGAGGCGGACGACGACGUGCGUGCUCCUCUGUGCCAAAACUCAAACCCCGGCGCUGAAUGCGUCAAGGAAUUUUAACUUUGCUCUGAGCGCAUCUGCAUGGCACCGGAGACGGUUUUUGUGCGGAUUGUGCUUUGACACAUUAUAUAGAAUGACUCUCGGCAACGGAUAUCUAGGCUCUUGCAUCGAUGAAGAACGUAGCGAAAUGCGAUACUUGGUGUGAAUUGCAGAAUCCCGUGAACCAUCGAGUCUUUGAACGCAAGUUGCGCCCGAUGCCAUUAGGUUGAGGGCACGUCUGCCUGCGUGUCACAUAUCGAAACCUCCUGCCAAUUUCCUUUUGACAGGGUGGAUGUUGGCCUCCCGUGAGCUCUUUUGUCUCAUGGUUGGUUGAAAAUUGAGACCUUGGUAGGGUGUGCCAUGAUAAAUGGUGGUUGUGUGACCCACGAGACCAAUCAUGCGCUGCUCUAUUGAAUUUGGCCUCUUUUACCCAUAUGCGUAAUGCUCGUGAUGAGACCGCAGGUCAGGCGGGG
rnacentral:rRNA from 1 species